GGACAACCUGCCCUUAGGUUGGGUAUAAACCCGGGAAACUGGGUAUAAUACCCGAUAGGUCUCGAUUGCUGGAAUGCAUCGAGAUUUAAAGCUCCGGCGCCUAAGGAUGGGUCUGCGGCCUAUCAGGUAGUAGUGGGUGUAGCGUACCUACUAGCCUACGACGGGUACGGGUUGUGAGAGCAAGAGCCCGGAGAUGGAUUCUGAGACACGAAUCCAGGCCCUACGGGGUGCAGCAGGCGCGAAAACUUUACAAUGCUGGCAACAGCGAUAAGGGAACCUCGAGUGCCAGGUUACAAAUCUGGCUGUCGAGAUGCCUAAAAAGCAUUUCAUAGCAAGGGCCGGGCAAGACCGGUGCCAGCCGCCGCGGUAACACCGGCGGCUCGAGUGGUAACCGUUAUUAUUGGGUCUAAAGGGUCUGUAGCCGGCCGGAUAAGUCUCUUGAGAAAUCUGGCAGCUUAACUGUCAGGCUUUCAGGAGAUACUGUCUGGCUCGAGGCCGGGAGAGGUGAGAGGUACUUCAGGGGUAGGGGUGAAAUCUUGUAAUCCUUGAAGGACCACCAGUGGCGAAGGCGUCUCACCAGAACGGACCUGACGGCAAGGGACGAAAGCUAGGGGCACGAACCGGAUUAGAUACCCGGGUAGUCCUAGCCGUAAACGAUACUCGCUAGGUGUCGGCCACGGUGCGACCGUUGUCGGUGCCGUAGGGAAGCCGUGAAGCGAGCCACCUGGGAAGUACGGCCGCAAGGCUGAAACU
rnacentral:rRNA from 1 species